UUUGAUUGUUGCUCAGAAGGCGU
rnacentral:miRNA from 1 species